GACGAACGCUGGCGGCGUGCUUAACACAUGCAAGUCGAGCGGUAAGGCCCUUUCGGGGGUACACGAGCGGCGAACGGGUGAGUAACACGUGGGUGACCUGCCCUCAGCUCUGGGAUAAGCCCGGGAAACUGGGUCUAAUACCGGAUAUGACUCCAUGACGCAUGUUGUGGGGUGGAAAGCCUCGUGCGGCUGAGGAUGGGCCCGCGGCCUAUCAGCUUGUUGGUGGGGUGAUGGCCACCAAGGCGACGACGGGUAGCCGGCCUGAGAGGGCGACCGGCCACACUGGGACUGAGAUACGGCCCAGACUCCUACGGGAGGCAGCAGUGGGGAAUCUUGCGCAAUGGGCGAAAGCCUGACGCAGCGACGCCGCGUGAGGGAUGACGGCCU
rnacentral:rRNA from 1 species